rnacentral:rRNA from 1 species
UUCCUACGGGGGGCUGCAGUGGGGAAUAUUGGACAAUGGGGGCAACCCUGAUCCAGCAAUGCCGCGUGAGUGAUGAAGGCCUUAGGGUUGUAAAGCUCUUUUGCCAGGGAAGAUGAUGACUGUACCUGGAGAAUAAGCCCCGGCUAACUUCGUGCCAGCAGCCGCGGUAAUACGAAGGGGGCUAGCGUUGUUCGGAAUUACUGGGCGUAAAGGGCGCGUAGGCGGCCGUUUAAGUUAGGUGUGAAAGUCCUGGGCUCAACCUGGGGACUGCACUUAAUACUGGAUGGCUUGAAUUCGGGAGAGGAUAGCGGAAUUCCCAGUGUAGAGGUGAAAUUCGUAGAUAUUGGGAAGAACACCGGUGGCGAAGGCGGCUAUCUGGACCGACAUUGACGCUGAGGCGCGAAAGCGUGGGGAGCAAACAGGAUUAGAUACCCUUGUAGUC